rnacentral:lncRNA from 10 species
CAUUGCACUCCAGCCUGGGCAACAAGAGUGAAACUACUUUUCAAAAAAAGAAAGUCACAUGCUUGCUCCACAAAGAAUUUGCGUGAGGGAAGUGAACAAUUUGAUGAGAAAAAAAUAGUUUGCGUGUGCUGUGGCUGUUAGUGCUAUGGUCCAGCAGGUUGGUGGGAGCUGAGUCCAUGAUGAUUUCAAGUUAUCCCUGUCUGAAGGCAAAGAAAGGCCUUUCUGUGUGGAAUUUGAAUAUCUGAAACUCAGUUUCCCAAGUUUGCCU